rnacentral:rRNA from 1 species
GACGAACGCUGGCGGCGUGCUUAACACAUGCAAGUCGAACGCUGAAGCUUGGUGCUUGCACUGGGUGGAUGAGUGGCGAACGGGUGAGUAAUACGUGAGUAACCUGCCCUUGACUCUGGGAUAAGCCUGGGAAACUGGGUCUAAUACUGGAUAUGACAUUCCACUGCAUGGUGGUGUGUGGAAAGGGUUUUACUGGUUUUGGAUGGGCUCACGGCCUAUCAGCUUGUUGGUGGGGUAAUGGCCUACCAAGGCGACGACGGGUAGCCGGCCUGAGAGGGUGACCGGCCACACUGGGACUGAGACACGGCCCAGACUCCUACGGGAGGCAGCAGGGGGGAAUAUUGCACAAUGGGCGGAAGCCUGAUGCAGCGACGCCGCGUGAGGGAGGACGGCCUUCGGGUGGUAAACCUCUUUCAGCACGGAAGAAGCGAGAGUGACGGUACGUGCAGAAGAAGCGCCGGCGAACUACGU